AGAUUGAAUCCUAAUUUUGGGAGAUAAUGUAGUAAGGACUAAUUUAAAGAAAUGGCUUGUUCCUUCUAAGUAAUUUGAACAUUAAUGGACUUCAUUUUGGGGACUGAACUUCUUUUUUGUACGAAUAGAUGAUGAGGUAAACAGUAAAUUUUACCAUAUUGAUUAUAUGUCUGGUAAAGAAUUAUUAGAGGCGAGGGGUGGUCUUGGCAGUUAAAAGCAAAAAAAAAAAAAAAAAUACAAAUCAAACAAUGGUAUGAUAUUAAAAAAUAAGAGAAGUGAACAUCAAUAUAUCGAAAGAUAGCUAGUAAAACCUAUAUGUUUGGAUGCAUAUAAAUUGCUAUUCUUUUUUUUUUUUUUUUUUCAAAAGCAAGGUCACUGGGUGGGUCCCAGUGACUAUUUUAUUGAUUUAUUAAAAUCCAACAAAAACAAAAUAGUGUCGCACGAAACAUAAAACAAUAAGCCUUCCAAAUUGGCAAAGUUUCGAAGGAGAUGGUAUAUGCGCUCAUUCCUAGGUCUCUCCGUCGGUUUCUAUCUAUGAAAUCAACCCCUCUUUGUGUGUAUUUUCAUCUCAAUGAGCUUAGAACUUGUCAGUGUAGGCUUGAAUUUGAAGGAUGUUGAUGUCGCGAUUGAUUAACCUCUUGUUUCAUUCUGUUGCAGCUAAUACAUCUUCUAAACGAGGAUUCUUUUGAGUCUUUCCCAUGUUUGCCAAUUUCAUCUUUCAAUAAUUGUGGGGUUCUCGAUCUCAACCCGAUAGUGACAAUGAUUUGAGUUUUUGACCUAAUCAAGAUGAAUUUUUUUGGUAUCUAUUACAUUGCUUAGUAAAUUCUUAUGCUUUUCGAGAUUCUUGCUUUGGUUUGUCUUAAUAGUUUUACGUUAAAUUAUAUGUUGUUGAAUUUUUAUUUUUUUUGUUUGAUUGUACUAAUUGAAGUUUUGCAAAUUUGUUCUAGAGUAUUAAAUUGAGGUUUCCCGGUUAAUUUUUGAAGUUUUUCAAAUUUUGUUCUAGAGUAUUAAAUUGGGGUUUCUGAAUUAAUUUCAUCAGUGUUGGAACCACAUGUACGUGAGGCUUUUGAUUAGUUUCAGUCGUAUUUUUCUUUUCUUCAUUUGCGCUGUUUUCGUGCAUACUCCUCCUCCUCAAGAAAGAAUGUAAUUUUUUAUCGUCCGAUUGUAUGAAUUGUUUUUACUCUUGUUGUGAUUUUUUGUUGGGCUAUUACAGUAGAAAGAAAUAUCAUGGAGUGCAAAAUUAAAGAUGUAAUUUAUAUCUCAUGUUGAAGGAAUAAAAAAGUGUUCUGAAAAUGUCGAGCAAACAUAAUAAACUAAUUAGAACUUUGAAAACAAAAAGGGCAGAAAAUGUGAAUUAUACAAAAUGAUGCAAUCUCAUAAAUAGAGGCCCUUCUAGCACAAGUACGAGGCAAACAAGGCUGAAACUAGCAUCAGACAUCUUGUUGCUAGCUCAAGUACUGUUGAAUCCGCUAAUACAUCGUUCAUCGAGGUCGCUACUGUUUCAAACGAGCAAGUUCUCUUGUUACGAGAUAGUCAUUGCUUAUGACAAAAACAUGCUAGAUAAGUAGAAAUUUAAGUUUGUUUAAAACAUUUAUGUUAGAAAUAACAACGACUAUAUCUUCAUAUUAGGUUAAAUAUAUCCUUAAGAUAUCGUCCGCAUAUGCAAGUUAUGAUUUUAGAGAAGUUCGCUGCUUGGGAAAUGUCCAGCCAUCAGUGGAUUAUGUCAUAUUAAAUGCGGUUUCCUAGUGUAAAUUUUGUGGAGGCAAAAGAGUUAAAUAUGAAACAUCCAUCCUUUGUUGUAGCAAUGGUGUUGUUCAGCUCAUUUCACACCAAGUGUCAACAAAGUUAAGGAAUUUAUAUCAAGAAAAAAUGACGAGUCAUAACACUUUCGAACUGACAUAAGAAUAUACAAUAACUUUUGUCA